CCAUUUUUUGGAUAUUACUGAUGUUAAAACUCCAAACCUUUGUGAACAUACUACUGUUGCUUCGGCGGCCUCGCCCCGCGGCGCGCACUGCGUGACCCGGGCCAAGGCGACCGCCGGAGGCACCAAACCCUGUCUUUAUAGUGGAUUUCUGAGUGGCAUAAGCAAAUAAAUCAAAACUUUCAGCAACGGAUCUCUUGGUUCUGGCAUCGAUGAAGAACGCAGCAAAAUGCGAUAAGUAAUGUGAAUUGCAGAAUUCAGUGAAUCAUCGAAUCUUUGAACGCACAUUGCGCCCGCCAGUACUCUGGCGGGCAUGCCUGUCUGAGCGUCAUUUCAACCCUCAGGACCCGUUCGCGGGACCUGGCGUUGGGGAUCAGCCCUCCGGGGCUGGCCCUUAAAUCUAGUGGCGGUCCUCACGCGACCUCCUCUGUGCAGUAGUAAUACCUCGCAGCUGGAAAGCGUAAGGGCCACGCUGUAAAACCCCCUACUUCUCAAGGUUGACUUCAGAUCAGGAAGGAAUACCCGGUGAAUUAA
rnacentral:sRNA from 1 species